AUUAACGCAAGGCAUGAUGGGUCAAUGAAUUCAAUCCAUUUAUGCCCAGCCUGGAGACAGCCAUUCUGCAUGGUGAAGAGUUUUGGUGAUCAUGUGCCAACUGCAACACCAUGAACAGAUGGGAAAACCUUGAUGAAACAGCGAGACAGGACUACACCACGCUCACCCUAGCGUCCGAUAACAUCGCCCUCGCCAAAACCCACGGCAGCCAUUGUGCUUCUUACCUAACCUUGAUCUAUUAUCCAGACCAGGGCAAAACUGUGCUCACAUCAGAGAGCACCCAUGAGCAAAGAUGGUGGAUUUCAAGUGCUGUACUUCCAGAGGUCUUACGCCAACCAAACAACUGCAGUUAAAAGGAAUGCUAAUGGAUAGAUUUUUCAGAUACCCUUUCUUCAUUGACAGAGCUGUCAUUGUGAGUUCAGAGCGAAAUGUUCCAUAUCUGGCCUUUUUUUUCUUGUUCCUCAGAGGUUCUUUCAUCUCUACAGGGUUACACAAGCAUACAGUAUUCAAUGAGUCUAUGAUGGUGAAAUAAACAAGCAUUUUAUAGAGCUUUA
ensembl:lncRNA